rnacentral:rRNA from 1 species
GUAGGUGGCAAGCGUUGUCCGGAAUUAUUGGGCGUAAAGCGCGCGCAGGCGGUUCUUUAAGUCUGAUGUGAAAGCCCACGGCUCAACCGUGGAGGGUCAUUGGAAACUGGAGAACUUGAGUACAGAAGAGGAAAGCGGAAUUCCACGUGUAGCGGUGAAAUGCGUAGAGAUGUGGAGGAACACCAGUGGCGAAGGCGGCUUUCUGGUCUGUAACUGACGCUGAGGCGCGAAAGCGUGGGGAGCAAACAGGAUUAGAUACCCUGGUAGUCCACGCCGUAAACGAUGAGUGCUAAGUGUUAGGGGGUUUCCGCCCCCCUUAGUGCUGCAGCUAACGCAUUUAGCACUCCGCCUGGGAGUACGGCCGCAAGGCUG